rnacentral:rRNA from 1 species
AAGCUCGUAGUUGAAUUUCGGAAUGCUAUCGGUCAAAGCUCGUUCUUGUGGCGUUGCUCGGUUGAUGCUUCCUAUCUUCCAGUAGUGGGGUUAAACUCAUUCUGGAUCAUUUACUUUGAAAAAAUUGAGUGUUCAAAGCAGGCGUAACUUGCCAUUGAAUAUUACAGCACGGGAUAAUAGAAUAUGACGUUGGUCUUAUUUUGUUGGUUUCUAAGGCUGAUGUAAUGAUUAAUAGGGAUAGUUGGG